AACUGUAGAUAAUUUUGUCAUAAGAGUUCUUCGUUUCUGUGCAGAAAUCGUGCCAUUGAGAAUAGACGACUUAAUGGAGUUGUGGAGGUGUGUCAGAUGGGAUUUGUCUUCAUCACUGUGAGCUGCCCCUUUGUGCAGCUUCCUAUUGCUUAGAUCACUCCAGCUUCCAGCAAACUGAAGAAUACUCACUUUGUUCAAGCCUGUGAGUUGCAACUGACUUAAUUGCUUAGAAAAACAUCUUUACAGGACAAAGCAAAAGCAAACAAAGUGCUCCAAGAGUGCAGAAGAGUAGACUGAAAGAGAACUGGCACAGAAGCUAUCACUUUGUAAACAUGAAAAAACUUCUGGAAACACCUCUGUGGAAGACAGGAUCCAAACUCUCAUCUCCUCCCAGUGACCCUUUGUGGUGACAGUUUCAGUAUCAGCAAAUGCAGGAGCAGCUUUGGUACCAGCACUCACUGUGCUGUGCUGAAUCCUUGGGGGCCAAGCUCAAGUUACAGGGUGCUGCACUGUUGUGCCUGACCCACUGCCCUCUCUGAGUUCCAGAAACUGGAUGUAUGAACUUGCAGUAAACAUUUUAAAUGCUUACAGCCCUGGAAAGAAGAGUGAGCUACAUAUGAAAAGGCAUUAAAGUCAGUUCAUGUGAUGCAUACCUUUGUGAUUCCACUUCCCAUGGGAAUACAUCAGAAGACAAGGCACAUUAUUAAGAUAACUGUUACAUCGAUGAAGCCCUGCUUUGUAGAACAUUGGUUUGGGAAGUCUCACCUGAUCUAUCUGAAAUAGUCAUUGCAAGGAACCUUGUGACAAGCUCCUGUUGCCACCCAGACAGCCACCAACCACCCCGUGAAAGAGAUUUGAUUCCAGCAUGUAAGUGUUACUGUAUGCCAAGAUGAUGAUUGGUUUUAUUAUCAUUAUUCUUUUGAACAAGCAGUGU
rnacentral:lncRNA from 1 species